rnacentral:rRNA from 1 species
UACGUAGGUGGCAAGCGUUGUCCGGAAUUACUGGGCGUAAAGCGCGCGUAGGCGGCUUGUCAAGUCAGGGGUGAAAUCCCACAGCUCAACUGUGGAACUGCCUUUGAAACUGUCAGGCUAGAGUGUCGGAGGGGAUAGCGGAAUUGCUAAUGUAGAGGUGAAAUUCGUAGAUAUUAGCAGGAACACCGGUGGCGAAGGCGGCUAUCUGGACGACAACUGACGCUGAGGCGCGAAAGCGUGGGGAUCAAACAGG